GAAAAAAAAACAAACAAACCAACAAAACAGAAAUGUAAUGGACGGUCAUCUCCUGUUCACGCCUACCCUCAAUUCUAUCCUCUUUUAUCCUCCCUCUUUUUAUCUUUUUUAUCUUUUCCCAUUGAUUG
rnacentral:ribozyme from 1 species